UGCCAUUUAUGAACCUUUUACUGUAUUUAAACAGCAAUUACUGAAAACAACGAUUCAUAAAAUAGUUUGUAAGC